rnacentral:lncRNA from 1 species
AGACUGGCCUCUGGAACUCCCAAAGUUAUAAAAAUAGCUGGAUUCCUUUUUCUGCAAAAGAGCCUCAAGUCUCUCUGACUCCUCUCCGUUUGGAAGAUUAAUAACGGUGAUAAUUCUGGAAGACUCCUUUACCACACAGCGGUGCGUACCUCCGCAGAGGGCUGGCCACCAGCUCACCAAGUAACACUAGAAGAUCGCCACAAGGGAUUUUAUAUGUGUAAGAGAGAGAGCGGGUGGGCAUCCUCUUUUGACAUAAAAGAUGAUGGAGAAGGUCUUUUUUAAAACAUGCAUUCAGUCAAAUCCAUGAAUUUAGCUAAUCCUUCUUUCCCUAAGUGUGCAAUUAGGGAAAACCUAAUGACUACUUUACAAGUUAUAGUUUUGGCUUCUUUUGCUAUUUAUUAAAAACAC